rnacentral:rRNA from 1 species
UACGUAGGGGGCAAGCGUUGUCCGGAAUCACUGGGCGUAAAGGGCGCGUAGGUGGCGGCCCAAGUCUGUGGUGAAAGCUCGAUGCUCAACAUCGAGUCGGCCACGGAUACUGGGUUGCUCGAGCACUGUAGGGGCAGAUGGAAUUCCGGGUGUAGCGGUGGAAUGCGUAGAGAUCCGGAAGAACACCGGUGGCGAAGGCGGUCUGCUGGGCAGUUGCUGACACUGAGGCGCGACAGCGUGGGGAGCAAACGGG